AAUGAACGUUGGCGGCGUGGAUUAGGCAUGCAAGUCGAGCGAGAAGGUUCCCUUCGGGGAGCUGGACAGCGGCAAACGGGGUAGUAAGGCGUAGGUUACGUGCCCUCAGGACCGGGAUAGCCACGGGAAACUGUGGGUAAUACCGGAUGAUCUCUACGGAGCAAAUGGUGAGAUUCCGCCUGGGGAGCGGCUUACGUGGUAUUAGCUAGUUGGUGAGGUAACGGCUCACCAAGGCAACGAUGCCUAGGGGGUGUGAGAGCAUGGCCCCCACACUGGGACUGAGACACUGCCCAGACACCUACGGGUGCUGCAGUCGAGAAUCUUCGGCAAUGGACGCAAGUCUGACCGAGCGACGCCGCGUGCGGGAUGAAGGCCCUUGGGUUGUAAACCGCUGUCAGAGGGGAUGAAAUCAUCGAGGCUAUCCCUUGAUGUUGAC
rnacentral:rRNA from 1 species